rnacentral:rRNA from 1 species
CCUACGGGAGGCAGCAGUGGGGAAUCUUCCGCAAUGGGCGAAAGCCUGACGGAGCAACGCCGCGUGAACGAUGAAGGUCUUAGGAUCGUAAAGUUCUGUUGUUAGGGACGAAGGGUAAGAAUAAUAAUACGGUUUUUAUUUGACGGUACCUAACGAGGAAGCCACGGCUAACUACGUGCCAGCAGCCGCGGUAAU